ACCCUACCUUGUGACUCCUCCUCCGUUGUUGUCAGAGUCUCCCUUGACUGCUAUGAAAAGGACACACCAUCAUGAGGCCUCUGAGUUACUGCCUUGAUGACACAGAUGGCUUCAUCAACAACGAUAGGCCCUCCCAGUCAACACCACCUCAUAAGAUUGCCUGCUGCAGUUGUUCGAGAGAUGUCCAGUUUGCAGCCGAACAUGCAGCAUAGAGAAGACCAGCAUCAUGCAGACAUGCCCUUACUGUGAGCAUUCCUAUGAAUGGAAGAGUCAGCCACAUGUUGACAAGUAUCCUGCCAGUAACCUUCACCUGUCAGUUGCAACAGCUUUCACUGGCUCAUCAUUUGUACAAAUACAGAAGUAUCUUAGAGGGGCCUGGAGCUGAUCUACGCUGCUAUGCCCAUCAAUGGAGCUCUGGCAAAGACCUCACCUCCAGCCUCACCUCUUGCCUGCUCACCAACGGUCGUCGAUGGGGAGAACAGAAUUAGAUAGGUUUAGCCUGACCUGUUCAAACUUCAACAUAGUAUCUGUGUGUGUGUCAGAUAUAAUCUAUUCUAACUGCCAUUGGUAAUAGAAAAGUGACUAUGAGUGUAUGUGUUCACAGAUACCUGUAUGGAGCCAGCACUUGGGAGACUUGCAAGAUAA